CAGCAACAGCUUUAUUUGUUUACAAAUUUUUGUUUGGCUGCUCUGGUUUUUGCAUCUUGUUCUCCACAAGACCACACAAUGUGCACAAACAGAAUUUCCCCGGCACUGGAGCAAAGAAUUUCCUGUUUUCACUUCUUUCCAAGACAGCUUGAUGAAGAAACAACUGACCAGGGAAACAAAAAGGGAUCAUUGCAAGAGGAAAUGACUUGAAAUGCAAGUGACGAAUAUAAUAUGGGCAGCACUAGGUUGAACAUGUACGAUCUUCCCCCAUCACACAAGGAUAUUUAUUCCGUG
rnacentral:lncRNA from 1 species